UCGCAGGCCGGCAGCGACCAGAGGAAGCGGCCCAACCUCUCCAGGUUCCCCCCUUGUUGAAGCACCUCGCAGACGCAGGCGACCUGCUCCUGCGUGAAGCCAAACGACGGCAGCAUCGACAUGGCCGGGCGCGGAGGCGGCAGAAGGAGGAGGAGAAGGCGGCCGAGCAAAACAAACAUCGCUCUUGAUGGGAAUAGGCAAAUUAUCCCGACGCGGCCGGCAACAGAACUGACAGGGACGGGCGAGGGCGAGGGCUGAUCCGAGGCUUCCCCGCGAUUUCCGAGCGGGACUUUCACAGAAGGAGGGGACGGACUAGCUGGGCUCUACCUGGGAGUUAAACGCUGCAGAAGAGAACUGAUCAGCAUCAAUGUUAAUUAUUGCCCGGGGUUGGUGUUCCUAAAAAUUGGAAACCGUUCACUUUAAACCACGAAAAGAGCGUUAUCCAGCGCAUAGCGGGGAUGAAGAUGGAUCCUACGCAACGCUCUGCCGGUUUUCCUCGAUUUCGCCAAAAAAACAAAACAAAGCAAAAAAGAAAAACCGAACACGACUUCCAUCUCCCCCCGACCUUAGAAAUAAACCUCUUCUCCAACCGAAAAUAAAUUUAAUAUUUUUUUUUCUUUAAGUGUGAGGCUG